rnacentral:rRNA from 1 species
UACAGAGGGGGCAAGCGUUAUUCGGAAUUAUUGGGCGUAAAGGGCGCGUAGGCGGCUUGGCAAGUGGAAGGUGAAAUCCCUCGGCUUAACCGAGGAACUGCCCUCCAAACUGCUUAGCUUGAGACCGGGAGAGGUGAGUGGAAUUCCCAGUGUAGCGGUGAAAUGCGUAGAUAUUCGCAAGAACACCAGUGGCGAAGGCGGCUCACUGGCCCGGUACUGACGCUGAGGUGCGAGAGCGUGGGGAGCAAACCGG